AACGAACGCUGGCGGCAUGCCUAACACAUGCAAGUCGAACGAGACCUUCGGGUCUAGUGGCGCACGGGUGCGUAACGCGUGGGAACCUGCCCUUAGGUUCGGAAUAACUCCCCGAAAGGGGUGCUAAUACCGGAUAAUGUCUUCGGACCAAAGAUUUAUCGCCUUUGGAUGGGCCCGCGUUGGAUUAGCUAGUUGGUAGGGUAAAAGCCUACCAAGGCGACGAUCCAUAGCUGGUCUGAGAGGAUGAUCAGCCACACUGGGGCUGAGACACGGCCCAGACUCCUACGGGAGGCAGCAGUGGAGAAUAUUGGACAAUGGGCGAAAGCCUGAUCCAGCAAUGCCGCGUGAGUGAUGAAGGCCUUAGGGUUGUAAAGCUCUUUUACACGGGAUGAUAAUGACAGUACCGGGAGAAUAAGAUCCGGCUAACUCCGUG
rnacentral:rRNA from 1 species